UACGGAGGGGGCUAGCGUUGUUCGGAAUUACUGGGCGUAAAGCGCACGUAGGCGGCUUUCUAAGUCGGGGGUGAAAUCCUGGAGCUCAACUCCAGAACUGCCUUCGAUACUGGAGAGCUCGAGUCCGGGAGAGGUGAGUGGAACUGCGAGUGUAGAGGUGAAAUUCGUAGAUAUUCGCAAGAACACCAGUGGCGAAGGCGGCUCACUGGCCCGGUACUGACGCUGAGGUGCGAAAGCGUGGGGAGCAAACAGGG
rnacentral:rRNA from 1 species